rnacentral:rRNA from 1 species
CCCCGGUAAACGGCGGCCGUAACUAUAACGGUCCUAAGGUAGCGAAAUUCCUUGUCGGGUAAGUUCCGACCUGCACGAAUGGCGUAAUGAUGGCCACGCUGUCUCCACCCGAGACUCAGUGAAAUUGAAAUCGCUGUGAAGAUGCAGUGUACCCGCGGCUAGACGGAAAGACCCCGUGAACCUUUACUACAGCUUGGCACUGAACAUUGAACCUACAUGUGUAGGAUAGGUGGGAGGCUAUGAAGACGUGACGCCAGUUGCGUUGGAGCCGUCCUUGAAAUACCACCC